rnacentral:rRNA from 1 species
UACGUAGGGUGCGAGCGUUAAUCGGAAUUACUGGGCGUAAAGUGUGCGCAGGCGGCCGCGCAAGUCGAGUGUGAAAGCCCCGAGCUUAACUUGGGAACUGCGCUCGAAACUACGUGGCUGGAGUGUGGCAGAGGAAGGUGGAAUUCCAGGUGUAGCGGUGAAAUGCGUAGAGAUCUGGAGGAACACCGAUGGCGAAGGCGGCAUCCUGGACCGGCAUUGACGCUGAGGAGCGAAAGCUAGGGGAGCAAACGGG